ensembl:lncRNA
ACCCUAUUGCAUUGAGCCCGUCGACUACCAAAUGCUGAUCCCUUAUUCCAGCUGCCAUGUACUGAGGCAGCCAGUGCUGCUUUAGGAAAUUCUGAAGGGCAGAUCCUCAAGACAAGUGGUCCCAGCAGCUGCUAGGGCCUUACUGGAAAAUUCCCUAACCAGGGUUGGCUGUCCACAAGCAGUUAGUCUCCUGGCUGGCUCUACUAAAGUUUUUUACUGAGUCCAAGCUUAUACUGGUCUGAUCUGAUACUGGUCACUGCACAAUGGACCAAUAAAUCAAGAGAUGAGUUGUUGGGACAAGGAAUUGCAACUUGAUUUGGAAAGCCAGCAGACCCAGAAGAUGACGCUCUAGUGUCCCAAAGAACCAUGUUUCCGGAGUUAGGAAUCAGGCUUCUUUUACACUGAAAGAGGAGGGGCUAAAGUUCUGGUUCCAGCCAGACUCCGGAAAGGGAUGUGUUAAUUUCUUCUUGCCUGCAACCAUUCACAGGUGCUCCUCAUGGAAUAAGUGUGUAACUCACAUGUAAGCAGACUUGACAUAGGAUGACAAGAUCUACACAGCUGUUACCUUGAACACAAUACACAAAAACUAAACUCACUUUUGGCUUUUGCAAACCAGUUUCCCUUCCUGAACCUCCAUAUUGUUGCUUUUUGCGACCCCAUGGACUGCAGGACAUCAGGCUUCCCUGUUCAUCACCAACUCCCAGAGCUUGCUCAAACUCAUGUCCAUUGAGUUGGUGAUGCCAUCCAACCAUCUGAUCCUCUGUUGUCCCC